GAGGGGCGGGCCGUGGGCGGAGCCUCGGGGCAGCGGGGCCGCGGGGCCCCUCUGGGGAGAGCCGGGGCGUGAAAGGCCGCGAUCUCUCCGCCCCCAGCGCCCGGCCUGUCGAGCCUCGCGUCGCCCCCGCCACCCCCGACGGCGCGGGCGCGUCUCCUCCCCAGCGACGCCCCGGGCGGGGGGAAGGCAGUCGGUGGAAGGCUGCGGCUCUGCGGGGCAAGUGCUCUGAAUACAAAAAAGCCUUUCUCACGCCCCUGCGCCCCUCCGCGCCCGGGUCUCCCAGAUGGAAGGGACAGGCUCCUCCACGCGGGAGCCCACAGCUCGCGGGGUCACAGCACUAUUUCUGUGGCUCUUGCGGAGAAGUGUGACUCCCAGGUAUUUCCCUUUGAAAAAAUCAGUAAUGAUUAUAACGAUAACUUUUGUUCCCGCUUCUAAGGUCUGGGGGUGUUUGGAGCCCGGGAAGGUGUCCCAGAAAGCCAGCCUGUGAAGUCUAGAUGUUAGCGGGCCCGCUCCUACCUCAGAGUCCUUAAGCAAACCGCAGGCCUCCGCCUUUGGGACUUGGUUUUGCGACUCAGCUAAGUGACGGUAACGGUCGUCCCAGACCACAAGCGGAGCGCUGGUCACCUUCUGAGUCUUCAGACGAGCCAGCCAGGCUUGCGGAGUCACCCCGUGCGUGCAGCUGGAGGAGAACGGCCCGCUCGUUAGCGCUCGACCCCCGCAGAGGUCACUCUGUGCGCCGGACUGGGUGGGAAUGACGUGGCCGAGCCCUCAUUCUUAGGCAGGAGCUGGGACUGUCCUGCGUUUUCCUCCGUCUCUGUUAACCUUCCUAUCACAGACAUCGCGUCUCUGUCAGGAAGGCCAGUCAGUAAGCAGGAGAGAGGGAAAACAUUUGGGAACUCUGGAAUCCCAAAGGAACUACCACUGCUUCUCCACUGGCCUUGCCUAGCCCUCCCUUCGUGGUUGGCAACGUGCGUUUCUUGAAGAUAAGACCCGGAAAUACCGAUAUUAAGAAGAUGGUUACCAAGGCAUUAGACGCCAGGCGAAUACCUUAAACAGUGAGAAUAAUCCUUACCGGUUGCUGAACAUUUCAUUCAAUCCCUGCCUGUUGCUGAUGGGGGGAGUUUGUGCAUUUCACAUCUCAAUGCCUGUUCUCCUCCCCCAAGAUAGAGCACCUCUGAAAAUAAGAGUUUGCCUCGUCUAAUAAAUUAAAGGUCAUGAUUUAUUUUGU